GACGAACGCUGGCGGCGUGCCUAAUACAUGCAAGUCGAGCGCAGGAAACUGACGGAACUCUUCGGAGGGAAGGCAGUGGAAUGAGCGGCGGACGGGUGAGUAACACGUAAGGAACCUGCCUCAAGGAUUGGGAUAACUCCGAGAAAUCGGAGCUAAUACCGGAUAGUUCAACGGACCGCAUGGUCCGCUGAUGAAAGGCGCUUCGGCGUCACCUUGAGAUGGCCUUGCGGUGCAUUAGCUAGUUGGUGGGGUAACGGCCCACCAAGGCGACGAUGCGAGGCCGACCUGGGAGGGUGAUCGGCCAAACGGGGACGGAGACACGGCCCAGACUCCUACGGGAGGCAGCAGUAGGGAAUCUUCCACAAUGGACGAAAGUCUGAUGGAGCAACGCCGCGUGAGUGAUGAAGGUUUUCGGAUCGUAAAACUCUGUUGUAAGGGAAGAACACGUACGAGAGGAAAUGCUCGUACCUUGACGGUACCUUACGAGAAAGCCACGGCUAACUACGUGCCAGCAGCCGCCGUAACAC
rnacentral:rRNA from 1 species